rnacentral:pre_miRNA from 1 species
GUUUUCAGCUAUUUGCAGGUGCUCUGACUUUGUUGCACUACUGUAUCAGACAGCUAGCAGUGCAAUAGUAUUGUCAAAGCAUCUAGAAAACAGCAGUGAC